rnacentral:siRNA from 1 species
AACAAUUCUUAGGAACCUUGGUC